AGUUGCUAACGCGUGAAGGCGAGCACGUCUAGCGAACUGCCGUUGACAAACGGAGGAAGGUGGGAUGACGUCAAAUCAUCAUGCCCCUUAUGUUCUGGGCUACACACGUGCUACAAUGGCCGGUACAGACGGACGCAAAGCCGCGAGGCGGAGCAAAUCCGAAAAAGCCGGUCUCAGUUCGGAUUGCAGGCUGCAAUUCGCCUGCAUGAAGUCGGAAUCGCUAGUAAUCGCAGGUCAGCAUACUGCGGUGAAUACGUUCCCGGGCCUU
rnacentral:rRNA from 1 species